rnacentral:lncRNA from 10 species
CCCCCAAGUCUCAAAUAUUGAAGAAUCUCUAACCAGAAGGCACAGAUCAUUCAUGGGGAUGUAUAACCGAAACCAGUCCUCUCCACCGCCUGGGGAUCUUCACUUUCGCAGUCUACGACUGCCUGUGACUCCAGAAAGACAAACUGCAGAUUGGCCAAGGUACAUCUCAGAUCAGAUCCCUCUGGGAAAAGCGCGGGAAUGCUUGGCUCUAGUAGUUAGGAGCUCUGGUGAGAGCGCCCCUAGUGCCAUUUUCCCAUCCCUGCCCUUGACAGUCCCCUUUGGUCUAAAUUCACGGUUCUAGACAGUCAAAGUCUACCUGCUGGGUGUCCACUCUCAAGCCAUAGGUUUUCAAUCCUAAAAGGGAUUAGGACCUUGGCUCAAAAUGUGGUCAACGCAGUGUUCAAAUUAGGAGGGCAGCUGGGAGAUGGCAGCAGGGGAUGAAAGUAUGACUCCUACUUCGUCCGCAACUGUGGGUCUGGCACCUCUUGACUUGCCAGUAUGCUGGCAAACAACCCAUCUCUCUUGGAGAAUCCACACUUCGUUUCUUCUAGGUCCAGCCUAAAUGUUACCUCCUCCAGGGAGCCUUUCCAGAUACUGCUUCUCCUCUCUCCCCCAACUCCC